GCAAGUCGAGCGCUUCCUUCGGGAAGAGCGGCGGACGGGUUAGUAACGCGUGGGAACGUACCCUUCACUACGGAAUAGCCAUUGGAAACGAUGAAUAAUACCGUAUACGCCCUUCGGGGGAAAGAAUUUCGGUGAUGGAUCGGCCCGCGUUAGAUUAGGUAGUUGGUGAGGUAAUGGCUCACCAAGCCUACGAUCUAUAGCUGGUUUGAGAGGAUGAUC
rnacentral:rRNA from 1 species